CCAGAACCGUUUUUAGCAGAGAUCUGGUAAACAGCAGCGUCAUUUUGGGAACACCUAGGAGGAAGAGAACAUACAGGCUGUGACCCCUCUGCCAGAGAAAGCCCCGUUCCUGAAGGCACCAUGACUUGUGUGGAAAAGAGACAAGACGAGAAGGAAAUAAGGGCAAGAGGCACAACGGACCAGAGCAUGGUGGACCAUAAAAAAUUACCUCUCCGACCGCAUGCGGCCCGCAGGCCUCCAGUUUGACACCCCUGGUCUAAACAAAUCAAGUACUCCUCGGUAAUUGGUUUAUUAACCCAAGCCUAAGCCAAUCAGCACAUGGCUCUCUCCGGACAGUAGUUCAGGGGUGAUCCAAUCAGUGCAAAGCUUAGGUCUUUCACCCUGUCCUCUAAGCCCAAAAAGGAAAGUCAUGUGGACCCCAGAGAAGGCUGAUAACCAUUUGUGAGACUGAGAAAGUCAGCCUGAGGUGGAAACCAAAGCACAGAGAAGAGCAGAGUUUCUAGAAAUGAAGAGAACCAGAUCCAGGAGUCCUGACCAAACUCUUGGACUUGUCAGUUGUGGGAGCAAUAAAUUCUCACUACUGUUUACGCUAGCUUGAGCUGAUGUUUGAUUGUUACUUCUAGAAAGCGUGCUACAACAUUCAUAUCUUCUCCUCCCUGGCCCAUGGUGCCU